rnacentral:siRNA from 1 species
CUUUCCUGGGUCGGAACUUGG